UACGUAGGGUGCAAGCGUUGUCCGGAAUUAUUGGGCGUAAAGAGCUCGUAGGCGGUCUGUCGCGUCGGCUGUGAAAUCCCGAGGCUCAACCUCGGGUCUGCAGUCGAUACGGGCAAGCUAGAAUUCGGUAGGGGAGACUGGAAUUCCUGGUGUAGCGGUGAAAUGCGCAGAUAUCAGGAGGAACACCGGUGGCGAAGGCGGGUCUCUGGGCCGAAAUUGACGCUGAGGAGCGAAAGCGUGGGGAGCAAACAGG
rnacentral:rRNA from 1 species